AGACUGGCUGCUUUAGCAGCCACCUAUAAGCACAACCAAAGAACUU
rfam:Cariama cristata contig18885, whole genome shotgun sequence.